rnacentral:pre_miRNA from 1 species
CAGUGUUGGGGCUCAGGAGGCAGACUCUUCGGGCAUCACCACCAUGGCCUGGGCUCUGCUUGUCCUUACCCUCCUCACUCAGGGCACAGGUGA